CAGGGGUGGCCUCUGUAUGGCGCUGGCCCUGAGAGCCUGCGGGGGGGAUACUGAGAUUUCUUGGCGGGGCGCACGAGUUCUAAAGAGCAUUUGUGACCAUGGGACCCUUCCCACAGUGGAGGGGCUGGAGAUCCUGCGAGCCGGCCAGGGAUAGAAUGUCAACCUUCGACGGGCUGACACACUUGGUGUGGCCUGGAAAUACGCAGUGCAAAAAGCUUGUGAUGCCUUGCACUAUCCACACGGAGGGUUUGGUAUGCCCCGCUCUUCCUUGUCUGCGGACGGCUUGGCUGGAUUGCGUUUUGGGUUGUGGUUUAUUUUCAUAAAUCUGUGUGCUUUGUUUUAUUAUU
rnacentral:lncRNA from 1 species